GGGAGCUUAGAUGUGGAAGCUCUUUGGAAACCAAGAAACACUCUGAAAAUGAAAAGGAUACCAACUUCAUCUCUCUUUAAGAAUACAAUAUUAGUUUAAAAGAUUGUUCAACUUAAAGCAAUCUUGUAGAGAUUGUCACCCAUGAUUGAUGCUGGCAUAAGAAUGUUUAUCACAGCAUGGCAUAUAUUGGAAGUUUAGUAAAUGAAGAUACAUCCAAUCUGACAUUCUAUUCACAACCACAAAGAGAUAAUGUAGAAACAUAUUUAGUAAUGUGAGAAAAUACUAAAUAUUAAGUGAAAAAGGUGGAAGAGUAAACUGUUCCUGUUUCUCCAUCUUGACAGGAAGCAGAAGUUCUCCUUAGCUGAUUUUUCUUCUUGCCUUAUACUGGGUUCUUUAACACCAGAACAAAAAUAAAUAAAUAAAAGAAUCUUCCAGAAAUUCAUGAAGAGACUUCAGGUCAGGAAAGCCUGAACUUUCUCAUCCAACACCCGUUCAAGUCGGAGGAUGCUGAUUAAUUCAUGAUGGAAAGGUAUCAAUUUCACAGCCCAGACCUCUACAUUCUUGAAAUGCUCUUCUCAUGGGAGACAUUAAAUAAGCUUUGAAUUAACUGAAGAACCAAUGAUGUGAUCCCUGGAUACUGGCAAUUGUUGCCCAAGAAAACCUCUCCCCUUGCUGUGGGACUGCUGGGCA
rnacentral:lncRNA from 1 species